CAAAGAGAGAGAGCGCGCGAGCCGGGACACAGCUCACAGGUGCUAGAUAAUAUAAGUUAUCAGUGGAAAUACGUAACCCACAUAUUUCCUGAAGUUGGUUCCUGUAUUAUUGGAGCACACAAAACGUGAACUCUGUGUUUUCAGUGGAGAGACUGUUGUGAACAAUGUCAUCCGACGAGGAGUCUAUGUUCCGACAGUUAGCCACCUGCGUUAGCCUAGCUCUACGGUGAGCGAGAAGCUACCACUGUGGGACGCUAAGGGAUGUACGUUCGCCGACACGCGGAGCGCGACACAGCGGAGUAACCUAGAUGAAGCUGGAGCACCAUCGAGAUGUUCUGUGAGGGACACUGCACGGGAUUCGGGAGAGAGGAGCUUCGUGGGCACUUUCUGCUCAGGAAACGAAGCAGCACCUGAGGGAGAGCCAUGUCCUGUGUGUAUGUCCACUUGACCACCGUUGGUGUGUAUGCUGUGCGGCUGGAUGCCCUGUUGCCUCUCCAGUUCCCCUGCAACACCGGAAAGUGAGAUUACAUACACUGUCAACCUUAUACAGUGCAGUGUGUGUGUGUGUGUGUGUGUGUGGGUGUGUCCUCUUUCUUACACUGGAUGUGUAUCUGCUCCAUUUCGUUGACCUCUGUGAUGGCCUCUCGGAGCUCCUCUGCAAACUUCCUGAGCUCGUCACCGCUCGGGGAGCAGAAGCUCACCAGCUGCUUCUUCUCUGAGCACCAUUGUUUCUGGGUGUACACCUGGCGAACGACGUAUCUACAACCUCUAACACCAUGGUCAUCACAAAGAAGGCACAACAGUGGCUACACACAUCCCUCCGGAGGCCAAAGCAGGCUAGCUGACCCAUGCCAGCCCUCACCACUUUCUACAGGGCACCACUGAAAGUGUUCUUACUGUAUCCGUGCCUGGUUUUGGUCUUGCACAGUAUCUGAACACAAACAGUUGGACAGGCUUGUGAAAACAGCAGGGACGACCGUUGGUGCCCCUGUUCCAUCUCUGCAUCUCUGCUGGAAAUCUUCACCCAGCGCUGUAUCUACAGAGCUGCCAGCAUCAUCAAAGACCCCUCCCACCCUUCACAUGGACUGUACAGGAGCAUUCGCACCAGGACCACCAGAUUCCUCAAUAGCAUUGUUGAUCUUUCAAACCCUCCUCGUCAUGGCCCUCCUCCCACUCCUGAAGGACAUAACCCUUCACUGGACUCCACCAGUACAUUACCUCACACUGCACAGUGACCUUUACACUUCACAAGUGCAGUUCUUACAGUAACAUUGUUGCACCUCAUUUCAGUUUAGUAUGUUUUGCUGGUACUGGGUGAACGUGUGUGAUUGUAUGUACAGUUUUGUGCUAUUAUUUAUGUGCAUUGUUCAUGUUAGGGGAAUGUUGUUUCACUUGUGUCCGUACAGAAGUGCAAGUAACAAUGACAAUAAACUAAAUAAAUAUCCUAAUAUUAUCUAAAGUGCCGUCGUCAUACACCAACUACGUGGUGGGCAGAGGGUUUAUAUGAUAAUGUUUCGCGGGGGCAUAAAGAUAUUAUAUAUUAUAACAGAUAAUAUAGUUUUCUUUGGUUGAUCACUGCCUUAAAGCAGAAAGUCUAACACUGUAUACUUGAGUAUCUGUUUUAUAUAUCGCCAUAUUUAUCAAUGUUAUUGCACAGUGCAGUCAUGACCCUUUGACAAGUGGUUCAAAACUUGGAUCCUGACCCAGACUCAACAGACAACUAUGCUGCUAAUAAGCUCACUCAGCAAUUUUUCCAGCACGAGGUGUGAACUGUACUCAGAGAGAAAGUGCUGCAGAGAGAGAGAGAGAGAGAAAAAAAGCAUCUUACACUCAUUGCUGAAGAGGUGAAACUGCAUUCCCAGAAGACCCAUCGCUUUACAGAAGUUGUAUGAGGCCGAGCUUUUUUUCUUGGGACACAGUUUGAGGAUCUGCAGUCGAGACAGGAAACGCAACAAAGCUGAAUGAACACACACGUUUUGUGUUGGUUUAUUCUCAGGUGUCUAUUUUCAGCACUUGAACGUAUACAUCUACGGAGUAUCUGUACCAGAAGCAGGUCAUUGAAGAGGAAGACCUCCCUCUGAAGCUGGGACAGUUUCUGCUUGUGAGGCUUGUUGGCAUCAGGGACUUCAAACAAACGACAGCAGCACACCAGACGUCUGUGGGGCACAGCCAGGAUCUACAGGGGCGGAGUUAAAAACAUGGAGACAAAAUAAUGUAUAACACCAAAGAAGAGAGGAGACUGGACACACAGGAACAGACAGGCUCAUGAUGCAGUAGGGGUGGGGAAAAAGGAGAAUACAUGAAGACAUUACUCACAGUUUUCAGGCCCAGGAUGGAUUGCUCCACGCGGCUCACAUAGGUGACAUGAUCCUCAUUUGAGCGGAGCUCUCUCUGCUGAAUCCGCUCAUAAAUGCCUGCCACCAUCUCUCUGGGGAUGUCGGCUCCAUCAUCCACACCUGAGGAAACAAGGGCCCACAGGAUGUGAUCGGUGGACAAACAUGAGGUGACAGAGAAUCUCACCAUCAUUGAUGAAGACUGUGAUCACGUUUAAAGCUGUAGUGUGUAACUUUUAAAUAUACAGAAAUGUUUGUUACAUUCAAACCAUUGUCAACUGAGUUCACACAAUACUGAUUAAGCCUCCGCACGACCCUCUCUGUGUUUAAUUCAACUCCAUUCAAAUGUAUUUGCAGGGCGCCAAGUCACAACAUACAUAAACUCAAGGCACGUAAGGCAAAUAAUAUUUAUUUAAUAUUUACAAUAUUAUAGAGAGCAGAGAAACCCAGCAAUUCACAUGAUGAGCAAGCACUAAGCAUCAUAGGAGAGAAAAAUCUGACAGAACCAGACUCAGAUCCCAUGCAAUGACGUUACAUGGGAAGUAAUCAAGUAAAGCAAGAUGGUUGCAAACAUGUUGAAGUGAUAAAACAUAAAGAAUCACAAAAAGUGAAUUGUUAUCUUCUAUAUUGUACAGGUCCGGUGACUUCAUGUA